GCCGGGGACCGGAGGGGGGCGGGCGGGGAGAUUGCGAGAGGGGGAGGCGCGGAGCGGAGCCCGGCCCCGGCCCUCCCCGCUGCCGGCAGGUGGGACCGCCCGAGCCGCCGGCCGCACAAUGGACGGCCCGCGGGCGACCCCCGCCCGGCCGCGCUCCGGCACGGCGGGGCCAGGUGGGGCGGGACGGACGGGGCGCGGCGGGGCGGGACGGGACGGGACGGGGGCUGUUGCCGGCGCCGCAUGGGGCGCCGGCCGCGGGGUGCCGCUGGUCGCGCUGCCGUGCCCACACCGCGGCCGGAGAGGGGCGGGGGGCUGCGGGUGCGGCUGUGACACGCGUGUCAGCGGCAGCGGGCCGUGAAACGCGCGCCCCGGGGCCGCCGUUGUCCUCACGCGUGGACGGGUCUGAGUUUGGGCCCCUCCAGGCGCCCGAAACGCGGGGAGCGGCGUUGGCUGCUGUGUGGAUGGAGCAUUAAAACGAGCUCCUUCCCCAUUCCCGGCUGGCGAGUCUGCCCGCACCCACACGUGCGAAAGCUAGGAAAUAAAGAGUUAAAAUGGAGGGAAGCUCCCAGGGGCACUGGCAGUCCCUUGAUCAAAUGUACCAGAAUUUGCACCAUAAAGACUCCCGGACCCGGUUGUGACAGGUCGGAUUUCUGUCAUUAUUACAGCCAAUUCCUUAUGACCUUUUGACCAAAAGACCUCGAAUCUCACCACUAAAAUUAUUUCUGACACAGCCAUGUCCUAGUGGGAGACUAACGCUGUAGCAAUUAAAUAUUCCUUUUAAUUUUUACAAAAUAAAAAUUCAAAGUGGCAGGUUUGAAUAUUAUUUUAAAAUAAUGAUAGUAAUAUAAGUGAAGCUUUUUUUCUUUUCCCAGACACUUCUGGGGGUGGACUGCUAUAUGAGCUUCCUCCUGCCUAGCAGAUAUGGUGUGAUUAUUUUUGUAUUGUCUGUCAUUCCCUCACAUUUAUAGAAAUUAUGAAUUAUGUAAUUUUACAUGGUCAAACAACUACACAUGAACCCUUCAUUCAGAUGAAGAUUUGAAGAGUUUCCUGGGUUUAAUUUCUGUUUCCUUACACAGCCUUUUUCUGCCUUGACUUUGUGUUCCUGCAUCAAGCAGAAUGUGUGUUUUGAUACUCGAUGAAAACCCCUUGGUUAAAACCCCAUUGAUGAGAGCUGCAGCUACUGGCUUUUCCUUGAUUGCACUUUGGCUGUGGUCCCGUCAUCGGAAAUGCUGCCAUUGCACGUGACAGGAUCACCAAGCGGUACCAGUGAUCCAAAUGAAGAGGCAAAGCUUCCAGAAGAUGCCUUUGGGGCACGCAGGCUGAGCAACUGCGCUGCCUGAGGCAGGUUCAGAGGAGAAGGACAAGACUCUGCAGCUGCUCAGCCCAGCAGGCACCAACAAGGAGCAGGUGCUGAAAACUGUCCCAAGAGUUGCUGGACAAUACACAGCCAGGAAAGAGGUUUCGAGGCAAUGAAGUGAUUUAGAAGCUAUAGUUCUACUUUUAAAACAUUACUUUGGCACUUACUCUCCUAACCUCUGCCAUUUCUUAAAAGAAACCCGGGCUUUCAAGUGCAAAUGGAAUGAAAUAAAACUCCAGAUGAUUGUGUGUCAUCCAUGUCCUAAAUCUUACCUACUACCUCUGAUGUCCAGCGUUUUCUCCUAGAUUUUCCACUAUGAGUGAAAAAAAUACAAGCAUCGAGCCUUAACAUCGUAGUUGUGAUCCUCAGGAUGAUUUUUUGCCAGCGCUGGAAUUCUGCAAAAUUGCAGUGCCAUCUCUUUGAAUGUGAGUAAAAAAUCCUUAGGACUGAAUGUGGGAUUUUUCAGGGUCCUGCAGAAGUCAUAAAAUCUCAGCUGCUGGUUUGGAUUUGCUCCAGAAACGUGUUUCAGAAUGAGGGAUUAUUCCUAGUUUUUUUCUAAAUAUCACUGGCUUCUCAGGCAUAACAUUCAACAACGUUCACAUCAUGGAGUGGAAUAUGUAUGCUUCUCCCUGUCUUAUGCAAGACUUUACAAAUAAAUCCUUUUAGGCAAUGAUACCCUGUAACCCCCAUUUCUGUGCCACAGGAAAAGCUUGCAUGGGUGCCUAGCUCAAGUUAAUUUAAUUGCAUUCUCUUACUCACAUGAGCUGUUUUACACUGAACAUGCUUCUAUGUAUCCCAAUGCAAGUAAUGGAAGAAAGGGGUCACCUGAGUUAGAUGUGCAUUUUGUGCUGAAUAUAUCACACUGGCAGCAUGUAAACUUCCUGCCAGUUCUUUUCUGUCUACAGCUUUUUCCCCCGAGAAUUUUAAAUGAAUCGAAUCUUGAUUUUCAAGGAAGCAUCCUGCUAGUUAAAAGCUGAGGACCAGCUCCUUGCUCAGCAGCCUGUCAAAGUUCACCCUGCUGUCUCCAGAAGACAGUACUAGAGAAUAGCCCGUGCAAAACAAACUUAGUUUGCCCCCUGAAAUUCCCAAGGUGGAUACGCUUUCUUCAUGUGCCUUUCCUGCAUAUUUCAUUUUGAUGCUUGUCUGCAUCAAAUUCUGAUAAAUGUAUUUACUUACUCUUUCUGGCAAGCGACCUGCAGCCAUGAAUACUAUUAAUGACAUUCAGCACACUUUGGGAAGCCCAUUAUCGGAAAGCCAGCUGCUAUUUCAGGCACAUUAGUUGUACCCAUUAUCCACACACAAGUCACACGAUUGAUUGUCUUAUGCGUACUCACUAGCCCAGAAAUAAUGAUUUGCCAGUACUGGACCAGUCAUGAACUUAGAGCAGUUAGGGGUCACCAGCUCUACUGGCAACUGUUCCUACUGUAGGGAAUAAGUGUCCCGUUCCUGGAGGCUUAGGGCCAGAUCAUGAAAUUUAUCUGCCUCCUGGGACGGAAGACCUGAGGCCAUUGCUUGUCACCUAGUUCUCCAGGCUGUGGAAAACUAUGAUCCUUCUCCUCCUGAACAGACCUUACACCUAAAAGGCUAAUCUGUACAGGAUCCAGUAUCUCACAGAACAUCUGCCUGUUGCACAAGCUCUUGGCAAGCGUAGUCAGCUGGAAUGAACAGCAGUGAGAUGGAGAGAAGGAAAAAGAACUACAAUGCAGUUUUAGGAGUGCCUCAAGUAAGACUAGAGCUGAGUUAAAGUCAUUGACACAUUACAGGGACAGAAAAGAGGGACUCACUUUUACACCAUAAGAAAUAAUUCCUAAAAUGCCUGCAAGUUUUUGAGACACUACAUGCCCCAGCAUCCCUAACACCAAAUAUUCGUAACUGUAGCGUGAGGGAGGAAUAGCCCUCAAAAGCUAUGAGCAGGCUCUGCACUAGGAGUAUGAAAGACUUGAUGUGCCGGCAGAAGCAGGAGAGUUGGAACAUGAAAGCACAUGGCCAUGUAGAUGUGCUCCAGGUGCCUUUCAAGAAUGGGACCUCACUUGCUUACAUGCACUUACAGUUUUAAAGUUUUACCCCAAAUCUUAAAGAAAAGGAUUUCCUGCCUGCUUUAACAAAAGCCAUAAAGCUGAUGCUCAGCUAGAGUGCCUAUCAGAAAAAUUUUGGUCACCUUUUUCAUUUUUUGAAAUGUAGAUUAAAUUUAGUCUUUUAGGGAAAUUCAGUAUCAUUAAUGCAAAUUUAUCUGAAUGACACUAUUAUCUGCAUCUCCUCCAAUAUACAGAACACUGAGCUGAUCAGAGAGAGCUUUUUCUUAAGGUAUUUGAGAUAAUGUAAUGAUCUUACAGAAUGUGUUUGUAACCCUUCCACGAGACGAGGAAGAAAACCUGCAAUUAUGCUUUACAGCAGCAAAGACUGUUACAUAAAUUGUUUAAAACAUUCAAAGAACGUGCAGAUUAGAGAGGUAUAAUAAGUAUUUUAUCAUGAAUUUUCUACAAAGAAGACAUACUAUUUAAUAUUAAUUACUACUAUUAUCCAAUGCUAACAGCCCUGAUCCAGAAGAGGAUGUGCAACAAACGGUAACUUUAAUGAUAUGGUUAGUUCCACCAAUGGAGUGAAAAAAGCUUUCCUGGAUCAGGCAGCCCGGCAGGUUCUGUGUAAAGCUAUACUCACAGUGACAUUCAGAGAUUCAUACUCUCACUUUAAAAUGAAAAGGGUGAAGGUGUGGUAUGGAAUAAACUAAUAUGAAAUGCCCGUA